rnacentral:rRNA from 1 species
AUGCUUCUCCUAAAGACUAAGCCAUGCAUGCCUUCGAAUAGGAGGAAGCAAUUCUCUCUGAAUCUGCGAACGGCUCCGCAAACCAGUUGUAAACUACAGCAAGCCAGCCUUGUCUCCUGCUUUCACGAGUGGGGUGCUUGGUGAUACGGAUAACCCUGGUAAUUCUGAGGCUAAUACGAGAACGUAAAACCUGGCCGACUGCUCACGUGGGAAGCUGGGGGACGUGCGAGUUGAUCGCGAGGAAUUCUGGGGGUGGACGCACGUUCAGACCGCGCUACAAAGGAAAGGCCCUCUUCGCGGAGGGCCCGCCCCAGCGGCUCUUGCAUUGUGCUUCUGACCUAUCAACUAGACGGCAGCGUAAUGGACAUGCUGUGGUGACAACGGGUACAGAGGAUUAGGGUUUGAUCCUGGAGAGUGGGCCUGAGAGAUUGCUCAUACUUCUAAGGAAGGCAGCAGGCGCGCAACGU